AUUGAACGCUGGCGGCAUGCUUUACACAUGCAAGUCGGACGAGUGGCGAACGGGUGAGUAACGCAUCGGAACGUACCGAGUAAUGGGGGAUAACUGUCCGAAAGGACAGCUAAUACCGCAUAUUAUUCGAGCGGCCGAUGUCUGAUUAGCUGGUUGGCGGGGUAAAGGACCAUCAAGGCGACGAUCAGUAGCGGGUCUGAGCGGAUGAUCCGCGACAAUGGGACUGGUACACGGACCCGACUCCUACGGGAGGCAGCAGUUGGGAAUUUUGGACAAUGGGCGCAAUCCUGAUCCAGCCAUGCGGGGUGUCUGAAGAAGGCCUUCGGGUUGUAAAGGACUUUUGUCAGGGAAGCGUUACCUGAAGAAUAAGCACCGGCUAACUACGUGCCAGCCGCCGCGGUAAUUC
rnacentral:rRNA from 1 species